rnacentral:lncRNA from 1 species
GUGUGGGGUUUGGGGUAGAAGGGAGGGAGGGGGCAGGACAGUGUGGAAUCUCUAGGGUGUAUGGGUAGGUAGGGGGCACAGUUAGUUCUAAGUGGGCUUUUAUGCUAAAAGCCUCUGGGGAUAUCUGUUUUGAAAAUAAAGAUAGGUGUCCCCUCCUUGCUGUCAUCUAGCCCAGACACUCUGCUUGCUCUCUGGCUGUCUGCUCCCUGGGAAGGCUUUAGGAGGACCACCCAGGACAGGAUGACCAUGCUGCCAUCUGCUCUGGAGCUGGGUCUCAGUGCAGAGGGACAGUGACUGUGGAUGGUUGCAGUCUCUGGUGGGAGGUGAGGAUAGAAGUGAUAAAGAGCUAAGAGGAGCUUCUGGGAGCCUUGGAGGAGGUCAGUCUUGCAGUGGUGAAGCCAGGACAUAGGAGAUGGAGCAGGGCUGUGAGAGGAGGAGAUUCUGAGGAGGAUGCAGGGGAAAUCUUGUCUGUUAAUGAAAUAGGAGUGGGGUGGGGUUUGGGGUGGGGUGGUCAUUGCCGUUUGAGCUGCUGAUUUUCAUGAGUCGCCUUCAAAACUCUCGUGUAGGGUUGACAAUGUGGGGGGGUGGGGGAUCCAGCUUAUUCUUUUAUUUUCAAGUCCAUUCUUGGGGCUGGUGGGGAGGCAGGAGAAUACCCCUCCCUAAGCCCUUAGUGUGUGCCGAGCUUGCUUUGUGAUGUUGGCAGGGGAGGGGAGACCUGGGUGGUGACUGAGUUCCCUUUAUCAAACCCUUCAGUGGGCACAAAAUUGAGUGCUUGAUUUUAGGUUUUAUUUUUUUAUGAAUGUCCAAAUCUGUGUUUCCCCCUGCCCUCCCAGACUGUGUGGCCAGUUGAAAGUGUCUGGUUUGUGUUCAUCUCUCCCUCAUUUCUGGAGCAGGGCCUGAGACCCUGCCACAUCUCCUAUGCUCUGCAUCCACGCCUCUUUUGGACAUUAAAGGUUGAUUGAUGCACCUCUGCACUGUUUGGGUCUCUUUGGGGAUGAGGGGUUGGCAUGGUGGCAGUGGUGCCACACAGUGGGUGAGGGUGGAGAGUCUCCAGGGUGGAAUAGAAUGGGGACUGAAGGGAAGACCAGCCACUAGAUACUGAUUGGCCUGUAGCAGCACUUAUUUGUGCCUAGGCUUAUGCCCCUUAAGUAGAGGAAAACUAACCAGCAGCACUCACCCUUAAGGGCUCCUGGGUUCUGCCUUCCUUGGUGGUGAUGGCCAGGUGAAUCAUAUUUUGUGUCUUUGGGAUAGUAACUGCUACCUUCCCAGCUGCCGUCAUGGACCUGCCUGAGCUUUGCUGCUUCAACUUUUGCCCAAAGCUCUUAUCUUUCAUACUCCUCCCUUCUCGGCUUUCCUGAACCUGGAGACUAUUUAGCAAAGGGUCUGGCCACUCAGAAAUGGAAAGCUGGGGAUAUUUAGAAAGAUGGCACCUCUUUUGGUGGAACCUAAGUGAUUCUCUGAAUCCUCUGUUGCCCAGACACACAACUCGAGAAAUCAGCAGUGCCAAGACUUCUGAGAGUGUCUGCCCACCCCUGACUCCACCAUCGUGUGACUGCAAUUCUCUUGGAGGUGUUAGGGAGCCAGAGGUGCUUUGCCCUCUUUGUGUUACUAUUUCUUUACUCAAAAAUAUUUAAGAGUUCUUGUAUGCUUGGGCCUAGGAUGCUGUUCACAGAGGAGAAUGAGACAAGUAAGUUCUAGGCUUCUAUGACAUACACAUUCUUAUGUGUAGAGCAGACAUACACACACUGAUCAACUUUUUCCAAUAGUGAUAAAUGUGUUAUCAAGGAAAUGAACUGGGCAAUGAGCUAUUGAGUGUUGGAGGUAGGUAGAUAGGGUUCCUCCAGUUAGGAAGGUGGUUGGCUGAUCUUGGGGAGAAGUUCUACCUCUGGGGCAGUGAGGUCCUAAGGGAUUAAGUUGAGAGACUCUAGAGCCCCAACUUCUGUUACUGCUUUAGCUGUCGUGAGUAAUUUGACAGAGCUGGAGCUUUGGGAGGGAGAGUGAGGCCACAGUUCACAUUUCAUCAGGGAUGAGUGUCUCCAGGGCCAAAGCUCAUCUACUUUCUUCCCUGAUGAAAGAGGCAGUCCAGGUGGCAUCUGUGAACAACACAUUCCUGCACAGGUAGGUGCACAGUGCUCAUCUGGAAGACUAAUCCUGCAGGGCUUCCUGGAGGAGAUGAGCCUCCACUUUUCGGGGCCCAGGAUGGGAAAGUAUGUGAGCAUGUGUCACUGAAGGGACUGUGGAAAGCAGAUGGAAAUUGUGGAAUUCUCUCGGAACAAUGCAGCCAUUAUUAGAACUGUGCCCAUAGGAGCAUCAAUAUCCCUGCUCCUUGUAUCCUGUUCUCCAGUCUUCUGGGGACCCCCUUUGACUGAACCCAACCAAAUGGCAGAUGACAAGGCAGACCCAGGAUGCAGUCUGUAGGGUUCAGUCCCCCUCCCCACUGGGAACAGCAGGAAAGGGCAAGGUGGUGACAAUCUAAGGGAGGCAAAUGGAUAAUAACCAGCAUGGUAGGGAAUCUUCUUUGUUGCUGUGGCACUGUCGAUCUCUGUUCCCUGAACUCUAGUGUCCUCCAGACUAGAUUUAAGGUGUGGUUCCCCGCUAAAUUAUUCUCUCACCUCCUUUCAGUCUUUGCUCAAACAUCCUUUUAUCAGAGAGGCUUUCUGACAUCCUGUGCAAGAUAGCACCUCUCCCCCAUCGCUGUUAUCCUUACCCAGUUUAAUUCCACGUAGCAUCUGCCAACGCUUGACAUAUUUGUUUUUUGUUUACUUUCUGGCCUGUGACAACUAGAAUAUAAGCUCUGUGAGAGCAUUUUUCUCUUAACUGCUUAUCUUCAAGUAAACAGAACAGUGCCUGUCCUGUAGGAAGUGUUUGAUACAUACAGAUUGCUCAAAUGAAAAAAGAAGGGUGCGAGCAAGCCUGGACAGGCCUGGUGCCCCAGGGCAGCCUUGCCUUUUCUGAAGAGAAUGGCUGCCUUAGGCACGGCUCUCCUUGCUGCCCAAGCCUUGCCACCUUGAAAGGCGUGAGAGGGUCACUCCCAGGUGUAUUCAAGCAAGAGUGCCUGAGCCACUCUUGCUUGGCAGUAUGGGAGGAUGAAAUAGUGUGUUCAUAAAGUGCAUUUUAUUUUUAAAGCAUUUCAGUUUAUGUUGCUGAAACCUGAGAGCGCCCCCCUGAGCUAGACUCAGUAAUCAUUAGACACAUUUUUGGAUAAGCAAACUGAAUCAGAGAAGGUGAGUGGCAAAGCCCAUGUAGCUGGUGGCAUUACUAGAACUUAGCACUGUGAUGCACAAAGGCUUAACUGGGUUUGGCAGCAAGGGUCUCAUGGAUACUCUUUAAGAUGUAGGCCCAGAUCUCUUAGUAGUGAAUCCCUGAUGUUCCCUCUCUUGGGGCUCUGGUUUAGCAAGGACAGCGAGGAUACUUUCCUCUCUCCCUCCUCCUUACUCCUCUCUACUAAGGAUUAAGGAGCCACCUCUUCCUCCUUAAGGCCUUUGGGAGAGAUGGGUCUCCUGGUAUUAGAAAGGAGAGCAGACGCCUAGAGUUCUGACCUCUUGGGCCUCCCCUAAACAAAAAGCAUAGCCCCUUCACUACCCUAGUAACAAGUAUGACCUGUUGCCUGUUGAGGUCAGGUGUACCUGUGUGUCUCUCUCUGUGAUGUAUGUGGGCUUGGUGUCCACAUCAAUGUGCGUGAAUACUCCUACCCACAGACUGCUACUGUGCCAAUAUAGAGGUUCAUAAGAAAGAUAAAAGAGAACCAGCAGAACCCCAGGUUCUGCCUCUCCUUCCUCCCUUUGCCCAGAUAAAGGUGUACAGUGUUUGUGGUGAGGCUGCUGGACACUGCUGUUUUGGGCUUUCUAGAGAGAAUGCAAACAUGCAAAAACAGUGUGGUAGUGUAGGCAGAACAAGAUCUAGAAUCAGAAGACCUGGAGUCGAAUCUCAGCUCCAACACCCACUGGAUGAACGUGGACAAGCUGCUUGAUCUCUCAGAUCCUCGAUUUCUUCAUCUAGAUGGGGUCCCACUAUGUUGCCUAGGCUGGUCUCAAACUCCUGGCCUCAA